CCAUGCGAGUCAAGGGGGCGUCCCUUCUGGGGCGCCACCGGCGGACGGCUCAGUAACACGUCGGUAACCUACCCUCGGGAGGGGGAUAACCCCGGGAAACUGGGGCUAAUCCCCCAUAGGCCUGGGGUACUGGAAGGUCCCCAGGCCGAAAGGGGCCUUGUGCCCGCCCGAGGAUGGGCCGGCGGCCGAUUAGGUAGUUGGUGGGGUAACGGCCCACCAAGCCGAAGAUCGGUACGGGCCGUGAGAGCGGGAGCCCGGAGAUGGACACUGAGACACGGGUCCAGGCCCUACGGGGCGCAGCAGGCGCGAAACCUCCGCAAUGCGGGAAACCGCGACGGGGGGACCCCCAGUGCCGUGCCUCUGGCACGGCUUUUCCGGAGUGUAAAAAGCUCCGGAAUAAGGGCUGGCAAGGCCGGUGGCAGCCGCCGCGUAAUACCGGCGGCCCGAGUGGUGGCCACUAUUAUUGGGCCUAAAGCAGCCGUAGCCGGGCCCGUAAGUCCCUGGCGAAAUCCCACGGCUCAACCGUGGGGCUCGCUGGGGAUACUGCGGGCCUUGGGACCGGGAGAGGCCGGGGGUACCCCCGGGGUAGGGGUGAAAUCCUAUAAUCCCGGGGGGACCGCCAGUGGCGAAGGCGCCCGGCUGGAACGGGUCCGACGGUGAGGGACGAAGGCCGGGGGAGCAAACCGGAUUAGAUACCCGGGUAGUCCCGGCUGUAAACUCUGCGGACUAGGUAUUGCGUGCCCUUCGGGGGCACGCAGUGCCGAAGGGAAGCCGUUAAGUCCGCCGCCUGGGGAGUACGGUCGCAAGACUGAAACUUAAAGGAAUUGGCGGGGAGCACUACAACGG
rnacentral:rRNA from 1 species